GACGAACGCUGGCGGCGCGCUUAACACAUGCAAGUCGAGCGAGAACCUGGGCUUCGGCCCUGGGGACAGCGGCGAACGGGUGAGUAACACGUGGGUAAUCUGCCCUUGACAUCGGGAUAGCCCGGGGAAACCCGGAUUAAUACCGAAUAGCCUCCGGAGCCCUCGGGCGCCGGAGAAAAGGUAGCUUCGGCCUCUGGUCAAGGAUGAGCCCGCGGCGGAUUAGCUUGUCGGCGGGGUAACGGCCCACCAAGGCGACGAUCCGUAGCUGGUCUGAGAGGACGAUCAGCCACACUGGGACUGAGACACGGCCCAGACUCCUACGGGAGGCAGCAGUGGGGAAUCUUGCGCAAAUGCGGGAAACCGUGACGCAGCGACGCCGCGUGGGGGAAGAAGGCCUUCGGGUUGUAAACCUCUUUCAGGAGGGACGAAGCUACUCGGGUUGAUAGCCCAGAGGGUGACGGUACCUCCAGAAGAAGCCCCGGCUAACUACGUGCCAGCAGCCGCGGUAAUAC
rnacentral:rRNA from 1 species